UACAGAGGUCUCAAGCGUUGUUCGGAUUAAUUGGGCGUAAAGGGUGUGUAGGUGGCGCGCUAAGUCGGGUGUGAAAUUUCGGAGCUUAACUCCGAAACUGCAUUCGAUACUGGCGUGCUUGAGGACUGGAGAGGAGACUGGAAUUCAUGGUGUAGCAGUGAAAUGCGUAGAGAUCAUGAGGAAGACCAGUGGCGAAGGCGGGUCUCUGGACAGUUCCUGACACUGAGACACGAAGGCCAGGGGAGCAAACGGG
rnacentral:rRNA from 1 species